rnacentral:rRNA from 1 species
AGAGUUUGAUCCUGGCUCAGGAUGAACGCUGGCGGCGUGCUUAACACAUGCAAGUCGAACGAACCUUCGGGUUAGUGGCGGACGGGUGAGUAACGCGUGAGAAUCUGCCCUCAGGAGGGGGAUAACAGCUGGAAACGGCUGCUAAUACCCCAUAUGCCGCGAGGUGAAAUGAAUUUCGCCUGAGGAUGAGCUCGCGUCUGAUUAGCUAGUUGGUGUAGGUAAUGGCUCACCAAGGCAUCGAUCAGUAGCUGGUCUGAGAGGAUGAUCAGCCACACUGGGACUGAGACACGGCCCAGACUCCUACGGGAGGCAGCAGUGGGGAAUUUUCCGCAAUGGGCGAAAGCCUGACGGAGCAACGCCGCGUGAGGGAUGAAGGCCUCUGGGCUGUAAACCUCUUUUAUCAAGGAAGAAGAUCUGACGGUACUUGAUGAAUAAGCCACGGCUAAUUCCGUGCCAGCAGCCGCGGUAAUACGGGAGUGGCAAGCGUUAUCCGGAAUUAUUGGGCGUAAAGCGUCCGCAGGCGGCCCUUCAAGUCUGCUGUUAAAAAGUGGAGCUUAACUCCAUCAUGGCAGUGGAAACUGAGGGGCUUGAGUGUGGUAGGGGCAGAGGGAAUUCCCGGUGUAGCGGUGAAAUGCGUAGAUAUCGGGAAGAACACCAGUGGCGAAGGCGCUCUGCUGGGCCAUCACUGACGCUCAUGGACGAAAGCCAGGGGAGCGAAAGGGAUUAGAUACCCCUGUAGUCCUGGCCGUAAACGAUGAACACUAGGUGUCGGGGGAAUCGACCCCCUCGGUGUCGUAGCCAACGCGUUAAGUGUUCCGCCUGGGGAGUACGCACGCAAGUGUGAAACUCAAAGGAAUUGACGGGGGCCCGCACAAGCGGUGGAGUAUGUGGUUUAAUUCGAUGCAACGCGAAGAACCUUACAAGGGUUUGACAUCCUGCGAAUCUCUUGGAAACGAGAGAGUGCCUUCGGGAGCGCAGUGACAGGUGGUGCAUGGCUGUCGUCAGCUCGUGUCGUGAGAUGUUGGGUUAAGUCCCGCAACGAGCGCAACCCACGUCUUUAGUUGCCAGCAUUUAGUUGGGCACUCUAGAGAGACCGCCGGUGAUAAACCGGAGGAAGGUGUGGAUGACGUCAAGUCAUCAUGCCCCUUACAUCCUGGGCUACACACGUACUACAAUGCUACGGACAAAGGGCAGCAAGUUCGCGAGGACAAGCAAAUCCCAUAAACCGUGGCUCAGUUCAGAUCGUAGGCUGCAACUCGCCUACGUGAAGGAGGAAUCGCUAGUAAUCGCAGGUCAGCAUACUGCGGUGAAUACGUUCCCGGGCCUUGUACACACCGCCCGUCACACCAUGGAAGUUGGCCACGCCCGAAGCCGUUACUCCAACCCUUGUGGAGGAGGACGUCGAAGGUGGGGCUGAUGACUGGGGUGAAGUCGUAACAAGGUAACC